UAGGAAGAUUUAUUUUGCAUUGGAUGGCAGAAUAGUGGUACUCAAUCAAGGGAUAAAUGGAACCUCACGCUUUUCGGAGAUUUGGUACUCUCAAAUAAGCUAGUCUUGUAUGAUCUUGAAAACCAGGCCAUUGGUUGGACCGACUAUAAUUGCUCAUCAAGCAUUGAAUUAAAAGACGAAAUUACUGGAUCAGUUCGUUUAGUAGGUGCUCACUCCCUGUCAAGUGGUUCUAGUUUGACAGCUCAAACGGCUCUAACAAUAUUCUUUUUGUUAGUAGUUCUGCUGCACAACUAUCUAUUCAACUGGUAAAAUCUGGUCAGUAUUAGCUUCUGGUGUACCUGAGACGAGAAUUGUUCGUUUGACUGUGAAAAUAACUUUUCAAAGUAUUGAUACAGCAGCUUGUGGCUGUCGACCGGGUGUGCAUAUUUUACAUUCAGAAUGGACUGCAAAAGCAAAGCUGAAAUAUAGAACAGAUUAACAGAAAAUUCCAUUUUGUAUGUAGCUGGCUUAUGUUGCAAAAUGCAUACUGUAAGUAGAACUCUGGAUAUAUUUUCUGUGUUCCGCUUGUUAUAACACAAGUUUCUUGACGAAUUAAAUUGUCUUAAUAGCUUUUUUGCUUUAAAAAAAAAGGGCAGCCUAGUGUACAAGGUAUCCCGCAUUCACGCAGGAUCUGAGAAAGGGCCGCACCCCAAGGGGUGUGAUGUAGACAUCCUACCCUAUUGCAAGCAUUAGUGACUGCUUCUAUGGCUCGAACCCGUGACCU